rnacentral:rRNA from 1 species
CCUACGGGGGGCUGCAGCAAGGAAUUUUCGGCAAUGGGCGCAAGCCUGACCGAGCAACGCCGCGUGGUGGACGACGGCCUUCGGGUUGUAAACACCUUUUGGGAGGGACGAUUGUGACGGUACCUCCUGAAUAAGCCCCGGCUAACUCCGUGCCAGCAGCCGCGGUAAGACGGAGGGGGCAAGCGUUGUCCGGACUCACUGGGCGUAAAGGGUGCGCAGGCGGCACGGCACGUUCGCGCUGAAAUCCCACGGCUUAACCGUGGGGCGCGUGCGAA